rnacentral:rRNA from 1 species
UACGAAGGGUGCAAGCGUUACUCGGAAUUACUGGGCGUAAAGCGUGCGUAGACGGUUACAUAAGUCGGGUGUGAAAGCCCCGGGCUCAACCUGGGGAAUUGCAUUCGAGACUGCGUAGCUAGGGUGCGGAAGAGGGAAGCGGAAUUUCCGGUGUAGCGGUGAAAUGCGCAGAUAUCGGGAGGAACACCAGCGGCGAAGGCGGUGCUCUGGGCCGGAACUGACGCUGAGGAGCGAAAGCGUGGGGAGCAAACAGG